UGAUGGGGAGAACCUCUAUCAAUACAUCCCAGGAAGUAGAGAACAGAAGUAGACAUAAGAGAGCACAUAUGUAGAAGAGGAACUGGCCGUCACUGAAGCCCUUGCAAUUGACUGUGGUCUCAGAUGGGGCAAACUUCUCGUGAACUGGUGAGCUGAGGCUGAACCUCACUAACCAACAGGUCUUGCUAAGCAUGUGGUACAUGCUGUGCUUGGUUGUUUGGCAACAAAACCCCCCAUAGGAUGUGCAUUUUAGGUAACAUAUGAAACAAGAAUUGUUAGGAGUUGCCUGCUCCUCCCAGUUACUCAGGAAUCCAUACUGUCAGAAGCUCACCAUCAUAUAACUGAAUGUCCUGGAACAUGUGACCUUCAAGACUUCCAGAGAAAGGAAGAAAAAGAUGAAUGAGGACACUGGCUUUCAACCCUCAGUACACAAAUAAUAUGUCACUUCUGAUCACAGUCCAUUGGUCUAAACAAGUCACAUGACUCCAGGGUCCUGUAAGGAAGGUUGGAUAAUGCAGGACACUUGAAAUAUUUGAGAAGUAUUAACAGUUUCUGCUACAAGUGAGGAGUGAAUAUAAAGGUAGAUAUAGUCCCUACCCUCAAUUUCUGUUCAAAAUAAUGAUACAAAACACAUGGUACUACAUAUUCUUGCAGAGAUACAGAUAAACUGCUGAAGAAGUUAAGGUUCUGGAGAGAUUGGCAAGGUUGGGUCCUGGACAGGAUAUUGGCGAACAUGGCAUUACAAGGGGAGGGGAGCUGAAGAACUGAUAGGCUUUGAUAGAUUUAUUUUUGAACAAAGAUAUGUUGGUAGAAAACCAACAAAAAUAAUAAUUAGUUUGCUUGAAGGUAGACUAUGUAAUAAACAAUAAUACUAAUGACAGCAACAAUGAGUGAUAUUUAAUGGAGCACCAAAUAUAUACCAGACCCAGGUCUAAGUCUUCAUAUAUAUUCACUCAGUUAAUCAUUUCAAUAGUCUUUGGUCAAAGGUGAAGCUCAAAGAAAUUCAGUAAUUUGCUUAGGACCACACUAGUAAAUGGCAGAGCCAGGGUUCUCUCUCUAGGGUUCACUCAUUGAAGGAGCAGAUAAGGGCUAGAUUUCAGAAGGUCAUGAAUACCAGGCUAAUGUGCCUGAGUAUUUACUCUGAAGGCAAAGGUACAACUGAAAAUUUCAAAGCAGGAAUUGCAUGAUAAUAUUGAUAAUUAAAUCAUAAAUGGUAUAGCAUGGGGACCUGGGAGAAAUGAAGAAAUGGAGCUGGUCUUCAGUGAUGCAGAGGCUAUGGCCAAUCAAAGAGAAAUAAAGAAUGUUCCAGGCAAGGACAGGCUCACUGGGGGUGUAGAAGUAGGAAUGAAUAUGGUGUGGAACAAGAUAAUGAGAUUUUUCUGACUGGUACAGGUUUAUGGUGUGGAACAAGAUAGUGAGAUUUUUCUGACCGGUACAGGUUUCAUAGUGCGAGUGGAGAUGGGACAAGCGUUAUGGUGAGGGAUCCUAAAGUCAGACCAGGGAGUGCGGUUCAAUUUAGUAGGAAGGGAAGAAACAUCGGUGCUUUGAAGACACAGUAGGAAUGAAUUAAGUGUUGCCUCUUCAUGUCUUUCGCUGUCCUCAGUCUUACUCUAGUCAUGGGCCCAACAUUCCUGGACUUUCAAAGCCUGGGGCGAUUUUUAAAGGCUCCUUGUUGUUCUUUCAAAAGAGUUCCUCUUCUCUACAAGCAAUAAAAUAGUUGAAGUCAGGUUGUUAUUUUCUUUUUUCUAUGAGCCAUUACAAAGGUGUGAAAUA